rnacentral:rRNA from 1 species
AACGACUGCUAAGACUGGAUAGGAAACAAAAAGGCAUCUUUUUGUUUUUAAAAGACCUUCUUAGAAAGGUAUGCUUAAAGAGGGGCUUGCGCCACAUUAGUUAGUUGGUAGAGUAAAAGCCUACCAAGACGAUGAUGUGUAGCUGGACUGAGAGGUUGAACAGCCACAUUGGGACUGAGACACGGCCCAAACUCCUACGGGAGGCAGCAGUAGGGAAUUUUCGGCAAUGGAGGAAACUCUGACCGAGCAACGCCGCGUGAACGAUGAAGUAUUUCGGUAUGUAAAGUUCUUUUAUUGAAGAAGAAAAAGUAGUGGAAAAACUAUAUUGACGUUAUUCAAUGAAUAAGCCCCGGCUAACUAUGUGCCAGCAGCCGCGGUAAGACAUAGGGGGCGAGCGUUAUCCGGAAUUAUUGGGCGUAAAGGGUGCGUAGGCUGUUAGAUAAGUCUAUAAUUUAAUUUCAGUGCUUAACGCUGUCUUGUUAUAGAAACUGUCUUGACUAGAGUGAGAUAGAGGCAAGCGGAAUUCCAUGUGUAGCGGUAAAAUGUGUAAAUAUAUGGAGGAACACCUGAAGCGUAGGCGGCUUGCUGGGUCUUUACUGACGCUGAGGCACGAAAGCGUGGGUAGCAAACAGGAUUAGAUACCCUGGUAGUCCACGCCGUAAACGAUGAGUACUAAGUGUCGGGGUAAAACUCGGUACUGAAGUUAACACAUUAAGUACUCCGCCUGAGUAGUACGUACGCAAGUAUGAAACUUAAAGGAAUUGACGGGACUCCGCACAAGCGGUGGAUCAUGUUGUUUAAUUCGAAGAUACACGAAAAAUCUUACCAGGUCUUGACAUACUCUGCAAAGCUAUAGAAAUAUAGUGGAGGUUAUCAGGAAUACAGGUGGUGCAUGGUUGUCGUCAGUUCGUGUCGUGAGAUGUUAGGUUAAGUCCUAAAACGAGCGCAACCCUUGUCGUUAAUUGCCAGCACGUAAUGGUGGGGACUUUAACAAGACUGCCAAUUAAACAUUGGAGGAAGGUGAGGAUUACGUCAAAUCAUCAUGCCCCUUAUGAUCUGGGCUACAAACGUGAUACAAUGGCUGUGACAAAGAGUAGCUGAAACGCGAGUUUUUAGCCAAUCUCAAAAAAGCAGUCUCAGUUCGGAUUGAAGUCUGUAACUCGACUUCAUGAAGUUGGAAUCGCUAGUAAUCGCGAAUCAGCAUGUCGCGGUGAAUACGUUCUCGGGGUUUGUACACGCCC